rnacentral:rRNA from 1 species
UACGGAGGGGGCUAGCGUUGUUCGGAAUUACUGGGCGUAAAGCGCACGUAGGCGGCUUUGUAAGUUAGAGGUGAAAGCCCGGGGCUCAACUCCGGAAUUGCCUUUAAGACUGCAUCGCUAGAAUUGUGGAGAGGUAAGUGGAAUUCCGAGUGUAGAGGUGAAAUUCGUAGAUAGUUCGGAAGAACACCAGUGGCGAAGGCGACUUACUGGACACAU